CUCCGUCUUAUCCAUUCCAUCACUUAUUAUUUCUUUACAGUUUACCUCAUUAUUGACAUACAACGCUACUCCCCCACCUUUACCUUUGAUCCGGUCUUUCCUAAACAGCACAUAUCCUUCCAUACCUGUACUCCAGUCAUGACUACUGUUCCACCACGUUUCAGUUAUUCCUAUGAUAUCUGGUUUCAUUUCUUGGACCAGGAGCUCUAAUUCCUCCAUUUUGUUACCUAGGCUUCUUGCAUUGGUGUAUAAACAUCUUAAUUUAUGCCGUUUGGCCUCUCUCACAUUUGUUAUCCCAUUUGGUAUGGACACCGUACUGCUAGUAUGACCUAUUAGUCUAGUAUCCACCCCCCCCCCUCCUUAUGUCCAAUCUCGUCCCCCCCGGCUAUAUCCGUUCUUAUCUCAUUGUCCUCCCUCUCAAUGUUAUAAUCUGGUGUGGAAAUUAACUGGACAUCUCCCAACCAUCUCCCCCAAAUUCCUAGUUUAAAGCUCUUUUGAUGAGAUGAGCCAGCCUUCCUCCCAGAAGUCUAUUUCCUUCCCUACUCAGGUGAAGUCCGUCCCGUGAGAACAGUUUUCUGUCCCCGAAAGCCUCCCAGUGGCCAUACAUCCCAAAGCUCUCUUUAUAGCACCACUCCCUUAGCCAACUAUUUAUCAUCACAAUCCUGUCACCCCUUUGCUGCCCUUCUCUAGGAACAGGCAGAAUCUGACUGAAGAUGAUCUGAGCCUCGAUUUCCUUAAGCGUCUUCCCCAGCCUGGCAUAAUCUCCCUUGAUUCUCUCUUACUUUUACAGUGGACAUGAACUGUUCCAUUGAAACAUUUUUUAAAGGGAAUGUAACAAUAGUGAGACUAAUAUCUUCUUGUUAGCUACAAAUAAAAAUUGAAACAUCAUGUACUUGUACUGAAUAUGCUUAGUAAUGGACUUUGAGUGAAAUUGUGUGAUUUGACUCUGGGGAAUGACAUCACAGAAUGUGGACGCGAAACAAUAGCAUGUUGCAUGAUUGAGAAUGUGUUAUUAUCAACAUGGGGCACAGCAAAUCAGGUGAUACAUUAUGUAAGAGUGAGACAAUAAUAUGAAAGCAAGUGUGUAUAUAUGUGAGCAAUAAAUCAUUUCGAUCAUUAAUUAAAAAGAGAUAGAAUGGAUUUGUAUCUAUGUCCAGAAACUGGAGGGGGGGAAAAAAGGAAAGCAAAGUUCAUUUAUGCGGUCCGCUAAUGUACUCUCUAAAAAUUCCAGAAACUUUAUCAAACGAUUAACUAGCAAAUCCUCAUCUGAUUGGAAUACUAAAAUUGUUCAGCAUCCCAGACAAAAUGAUGGCCACAACUGCGGACCACUCAUCUUAAAGAAACGUAUUUGCAGCACAAAGACAUCAGUACGGUAGAAACAAAACAAGAGGCUAAUACUGCGUUUAGAAGACAUAUAGCAAAUCUUCCAAUGAAGGAGUCAGAAAGCAUGGAGGACUACUGCAUAUACUACAACCUUGUCAACUGUGAAAAGGAAAGUGAGGAUUGCACAAUGGUCCAGUGUGAUUCUUGCAAGAGGUUGGCAUAUGCCCUGCAUUACAGAAGGAACUAAUCAAGAAAACCUGACUGAUGAGGAGAAAGAGUACAACUGCAAAAAAUGUGCAUAGUUCACUUCUUUACCAAAACAAAACAAACAAAAAUGCUUAAAUGCCUCUUGUUCAAAACAUAAUGCAACCAAAAGAAUUGUUUUUAUUUAUA